GGGGGGGUCCCGGGGCAGAGCGCUGCUGCUCGGCUCUAAGUCCAGCGGCUCAGACUGUGGCCGCGGGCUGACUCUCGCACACGCCGCGCUGCUCGCUCCGUUCCCCGCCUGCCUCCUGCCUCCGUCCCGCUGUCAUGGAGCUGGACCCCGUCGUGCUCAUCCCCGCGCUGCUCUUCACCGCGGUGGCCCUGUACUUCGCCACUUCGCUGCUCGGGAAGAAGUCCGACGACUCCUCCGCAUCCAAGAAGCCGAAGCCCAAAGUGGGCUACGGAGAUGACAUCCCGCCCUCCAGAGCCCUCGGAGCCCCGCGCCCCGCAGAGCCACAGCCCGAGGCGAAGAUAGAGCCUCCUCCCCGGCCAGCGGAGCCCGCCAGACCCGCGCCUGUUGUGGAAGCCAAGCCUGAACCAGUGGAGGUCCCAGAGCCCACACCGGAACCCGUGGUAGUCCCAGAGCCAGUCCCAGAGGUGAUCCCAGAACCCACCCCUGCUCCAGUUAUUGCCUCAGAGCCAGAACCAGUACCAGAACCAACACCAGAGCCAGUGAAGGAGCCCGAGCCCGUACCAGAGUCUAAACCAGAGCCAGCCCCAGAGCCAGAGCCGGUGGUACCAGAACCAGAACCAGUGAAGGAGCCAGAGCCUGUGUUACCAGAACCAGAACCAGUGAAGGAGCCAGAGCCAGUGUUACCAGAACCAGAACCAGUGAAGGAGCCAGAGCCAGUGUUACCAGAACCAGAACCAGUGAAGGAGCCAGAGCCAGUGUUACCAGAACCAGAACCAGUGAAGGAACCAGAGCCCCAGCCUGUACCAGAACCCGUGGUACCAGAGUCUAAACCAGAGCCAGCACCAGAGCCGGUGGUGGAGGCUGCACCAGAACCAGAGUCUGUGGUACCAGAACCGGAGCCAGCCCCAGAGACCGUCCCAGUGGAAGAGCCUGUGGUGGUCCCAGAACCAAAGAAACCCAAAGAGACAAAAGUCAAGGAGCUGAAACCCAAGGAGCCGAAAGUGAAAGAGCCAAAAGCCAUUCUGGAUGAUGUAGCGGCGGCCGAGGAGAAGGUCACAUUUGCUCCGGGUAAAAAGAAGAGCAAGUUUGAGACGCUGAUGACCAAAGAGGAGAUCGAGGAGGAGCAGAGACCCGAGUGAUGCCUCGUCUGAGUCUGCUCCUCCACAGCUGAACAAAUAUAAGAUUUAUACAAACACGGUGGACUGCCCCAGGCGGCUGUGGCUCUGUGGACUGGAGCAUUGUGGGAAAUGUAGUACAGUUUUUACUGGGAUUUAGCUCAAGUCCUAGUUUAGUCCUGGUUUAGUUCUGGUUUAGUCCAUGUUUAGUCCAGAUUUAGGCCCAGGUUUAGUCCAGGUUUAGUCCAGGUUUAGUCCAGGUUUAG
ensembl:lncRNA